UCUCCGUAAAGUUUAAACACUAUGUCCGUGUGCAACACAACAUUUCAGCUGUUGUGCGAACUGCUUUCCACACACGCGUUUACCAUGAAAACAACAGGCAAU